rnacentral:tRNA from 1 species
GGACCCGUGGCCCAAUUGGCAAGGCGUUUGACUACGAUUGAACAACCUUAUCACAUCAAAAGAUUGUGGGUUCGAAUCCCACCGGGUUCA